GAUCCUGGCUCAGGACGAACGCUGGCGGCGUGCCUAAUACAUGCAAGUCGAACGAGAGCGACCGGUGCUUGCACUGGUCGAUCUAGUGGCGAACGGGUGAGUAACACGUGGGUAACCUGCCCAUCAGAGGGGGAUAACAUUCGGAAACGGAUGCUAAAACCGCAUAGGUCCUUUAACCGCAUGGUUGAAGGAGGAAAAGAGGCGCAAGCUUCUGCUGAUGGAUGGACCCNCGGUGCAUUAG
rnacentral:rRNA from 1 species